rnacentral:rRNA from 1 species
GACGAAGGAUGCAAGCGUUAUCCGGAUUCAUUGGGUUUAAAGGGAGCGUAGGUGGCCUUAUAAGUCAGUGGUGAAAUCUCGCAGCUUAACUGCGAAAUUGCCAUUGAUACUGUAGGGCUUGAGUACAGUUGCUGUGGGCGGAAUAUGACAUGUAGUGGUGAAAUACAUAGAGAUGUCAUAGAACACCGAUUGCGAAGGCAGCUCUCUGGGACGGUACUGACGCUGAGACGCGAAAGCGUGGGGAGCGAACAGG